UACAGAGGUCCCAAGCGUUGUUCGGAUUCACUGGGCGUAAAGGGUGCGUAGGUGGCGGGGUAAGUUUGAUGUGAAAUCUCCGAGCUUAACUCGGAAACUGCAUUGAAUACUAUCCUGCUCGAGGUUUGGAAGGGGGACUGGAAUUCUCGGUGUAGCAGUGAAAUGCGUAGAUAUCGAGAGGAACACCAGUGGCGAAGGCGAGUCUCUGGACAUUUCCUGACGCUGAGGCACGAAAGCCAGGGGAGCAAACGGG
rnacentral:rRNA from 1 species